CGGGGACGGACAAUGUCACAAUCUCGUAUAGUGAAUGACCCCGCGCUCGUCAUUAAGCGCGUGUCUCACCUCAAUAUAGCACUACGUUGUGCAAUCCGAGGUUUCAAACUCUCAGGACAUCAUUUACAAUCACUACUCAUCUCGAACCGGCUACAACUCUAGCUCGCGAUGCCUUUGCCCCUCAAAUCGGCCUCCACGCGCGUCGAAUCUGACCAAAACCAAA
rnacentral:lncRNA from 1 species